rnacentral:misc_RNA from 1 species
UGGUUCUGGCAUCGAUGAAGAACGCAGCGAAAUGCGAUAAGUAAUGUGAAUUGCAGAAUUCAGUGAAUCAUCGAAUCUUUGAACGCACAUUGCGCCCUCUGGCAUUCCGGGGGGCAUGCCUGUUCGAGCGUCAUUACAACCCUCAAGCUCUGCUUGGUGUUAGGCCUUACCUGCAAGGUAGGCCGCAAAAUCAGUGGCGGUGCCAUACGGCUUCAAGCGUAGUAAUCUUUCUCGCUUUAGAAGAACCGGGUGUUACCUGUCAAAAAUCCUUAAUUUUACUAUAGGUUGACCUCGGAUCAGGUAGGGAUACCCGCUGA